AGCCCUGUGUAUCCGUGCUGAGAUUUCGUCAACGACCAACCCAUUGGGGCUGAUGUAACUUCCAAAAUAAGUGAAUUG
rnacentral:pre_miRNA from 1 species